GAUGAAGAACGUAGCGAAAUGCGAUAAGUAGUGUGAAUUGCAGAAUUCAGUGAAUCAUCGAAUCUUUGAACGCACAUAGCGCCCCUUGGUAUUCCAUGGGGCAUGCCUGUUCGAGCGUCAUUUGUACCUUCAAGCUCUGCUUGGUGUUGGGUGUUUGUCUCGCCUCUGCGUGUAGACUCGCCUCAAAACAAUUGGCAGCCGGCGUAUUGAUUUCGGAGCGCAGUACAUCUCGCGCUUUGCACUCAUAACGACGACGUCCAAAAGUACAUUUUUACACUCUUGACCUCGGAUCAGGUAGGGAUACCCGCUGAACUUAAGCAUAUCAAUAAGCGGAGGA
rnacentral:misc_RNA from 1 species